rnacentral:misc_RNA from 1 species
UGCGGCUGGAUCACCUCCUUUUGAGCAAAGACGUGAUCCCCUCCUUUUGAGCACGACAAGCGCUUCUUGUCAGGCGCCCACACAAGACACCUGCAUUUUUCAGAGUAAGCCCGUACAACGGGGCCUUAGCUCAGCUGGGAGAGCACCUGCUUUGCAAGCAGGGGGUCGUCGGUUCGAUCCCGACAGGCUCCACCACUGAGAACGACUUUUGGGUCUGUAGCUCAGGUGGUUAGAGCGCACCCCUGAUAAGGGUGAGGUCGGUGGUUCGAGUCCUCCCAGACCCACCAAAACCAGGCUGGCUAUUACUUCUGAAACCUGCAAUCGCACACUAAAAGAUUAUUUUGAAACGGAUCGGCGCUGAAGCCGGCUUCGUGUUCUUUAACAACUUGUGACGUAGCGAGCGUUUUAGAUUUUCAUCUAGACGUGUCGUUGAGGCUAAGGCGGGGACCUCGAGUCCCUAAUAAAUUGAGUCGUAUGUUCGCGUUAAUGGCUUUGUACCCCAUUAACACGGCAUGUAACUCCGAGGCGACUUGGGGUUAUAUGGUCAAGCGAAUAAGCGCACACGGUGGAUGCCUUGGCGGUCAGAGGCGAUGAAGGACGUGGCAGCCUGCGAAAAGUGCGGGGGAGCUGGCAACAAGCAUUGAUCCCGCAAUGUCCGAAUGGGGAAACCCGG